rnacentral:rRNA from 1 species
GAUGAACGCUGGCGGCGUGCCUAAUACAUGCAAGUCGAGCGAACAGACGAGGAGCUUGCUCCUCUGACGUUAGCGGCGGACGGGUGAGUAACACGUGGAUAACCUACCUAUAAGACUGGGAUAACUUCGGGAAACCGGAGCUAAUACCGGAUAAUAUAUUGAACCGCAUGGUUCAAUAGUGAAAGACGGUUUUGCUGUCACUUAUAGAUGGAUCCGCGCCGCAUUAGCUAGUUGGUAAGGUAACGGCUUACCAAGGCAACGAUGCGUAGCCGACCUGAGAGGGUGAUCGGCCACACUGGAACUGAGACACGGUCCAGACUCCUACGGGAGGCAGCAGUGGGGAUUCUUCCGCAAAGGGCGAAAGCCUGACGGAGCAACGCCGCGUGAGUGAUGAAGGUCUUCGGAUCGUAAAACUCUGUUAUUAGGGAAGAACAAAUGUGUAAGUAACUAUGCACGUCUUGACGGUACCUAAUCAGAAAGCCACGGCUAACUACGUG